UAUAUAUAUGCCCGGAUUCAGAAUGCGCUUACAACAAUGUUAGCGCGCUAACAUACUAUACUUUACGUCACGCAUAUUAUAGAAUUUCAGAGAUAAAA